AGCAUGUUAGCUCAGGGGAAGAGCGCCGGGCUCAUAACCCGGAGGUGCGUCUCCUCCAUCCAUGGUGGUCCUCUGGACUUGUUCACUAACAAUCACUAGGUCCCUGGAUCGAAACCAGGACAUGCUA